UUUAGUAAUGAAAAUUCUCCUUGGGGGGAGUUAUAUCAUCUGGGAAAAGAAAAAUUUAAAACUAAAUUUUUAAAACAUCUGUCUUGCUUUGCGUAUUCACAAUUUAUCAAUCCCUAUUUAAACCUAAUAAAAAAUGAUAGUACAACAUCGAUUAUGUUUUUCAAAAAUUCUUCCGAUAAAGAUUAUAUUAAUUAUUUUCUUUUUACUAUCGCGAAGCAUGCCAGGAAUCCUGUAGUACUCGACUUCAUAUUAGAAAACAUAUUUACACUUGAUAACAUAAGACCCAGACAAGUCAGCGCGCAUGCAACAUUUAUUGUUAUUAUUAAUCAUGUGUAUUCUAUAAAUCAAUUAAAAAAGAUAAACAAAUUAGCAGAAAGCUACAAACGUAUGGUAAUGUAUUUACCAAUGUGUAGCAAUAUAUACCAAUAUGUUUUAAAUAUUCAAAGCAAGAUACGAAGGCGCAAUUUCGAAAUCAAAUGUCAAAAGGAUUACUUUCAGAAUUUUAUGAAAUAUCAAUAAUAUCCAUUUAAAAGUAACGAUUAUGACGCAAACAUAUCUAUAUAUCUUUCUUACAAAUAGCAUUUUAUAAUGUUUAUAGUUAUCGAUUUAUUAUUUAUGCUUAUGUGUGUUAAUAAUAUAUAAUUAAAUACACAUGCAUUUACAACGAUACUUUGUGGCCUGCA
rnacentral:misc_RNA from 1 species